GCAAGAGGCAUGAUCAACCCGUAGAAUUCCGUUUCAGCUGACGCCCGUCGGUCGUUUCCGAUUCUUCAAUAGUGGUGAACAACUGAUUUUUUUUCUACUAACUUCUCAGAUUCUUCGAUAGCAAUAUCGUUGCCGCCGAUCUCAAUAUUCUCUUCCUGUCUCGUUUGUGGUAGAUCUUUGGCUGUCAUUUCUUUCGUUCUUUAUUGAUUCGAGGUCAUUGAUUCUCCAUUUACGCGCUGUGAUUCAAAGAUCUCUGUCUGACGUUGUCUUUUGGAAGCCUUCCGAGUGUGGCAACGAGGUAGGAUCUGAAUUUCGUUCAAGAUUUCAGUGAUUCAGAUAAGAAAACACGAAACUGCUAGAGUGAAUAAUUGUGCAAAGCGUUUCAAUUCAAUUAAUUGACCUUCGAUUCAGAUCUUACGGAGUUGUUUCUGAUGUGGUCUCACCGCUGAAAUUAAGUAGUGGAACAAUGUCUUUGGAGGAAGGUGAUGUUUAUGAAACUCCGGAAAGUCGAGUGGAAGAGGGGACAAUGCCUGAGGGGCUGAAAUCCGGAGUGAACCAUCAGGGAAAUGGCCGUGUUGUAGUGGAAGAUAGAUUUGCUGAUGGCGACAAAUGCUUCGAUGAUCAUGACGAGCUUGUUCAAUUGGUUAUCGACAUGAAAUCUCAAAAUGAAUACUUAAAGUCUCAGUUGGAAAGCAUGAAAAAUCUGCACAAUAUUGAGAAUGUACCGGAACGAGAAGAAGAAAUUGGUUCGAGAGAUGGAGAAAGCGUUGCUUUGAAAGAACUUCAACAAAGAAUUGAGUCUUUGAGUAAAGAACUUUCGGAGGAAAAGCAGACACGAGGUGCAGCUGAGCAAGCUCUGCAGCAUCUCCAAGAAGCCCACUCAGAAGCAGAUGCAAAAGUUAAUGAACUUUCUGCAAAGCUUAUCGAAGCUCAACAGAAGUUGGAGCAAGAAAUAAAAGAACGUGAUGAGAAAUAUUCUGACCUGGACUCAAAAUUUAGCAGGCUACACAAACGAGCUAAACAGCGUAUUCAAGAUAUCCAAAAGGAAAAAGAUGAACUUGAGGCUCGAUUUCGUGAUGUUAAUGAAAGAGCAGAGCGUGCAACAUCCCAGCAGACUGCACUUCAACAAGAAAUAGAACGCACUCGGCAACAAGCCAAUGAAGCAUUGAAAGCAAUAGAUGCAGAGAGACAACAAUUAAGGAGUGCAAACAAUAAGCUUCGAGACAACAUAGAAGAAUUGCGACACUCAUUGCAGCCUAAAGAAAGUGCAAUUGAGGCAUUGCAGCAGUCCCUUGCGGAGAAGGACCAGAUGUUGGAAGACAUGAAGAAUAUGCUUCAAGCUGCUGAGGAUAAAAGGCAAGCUUCACUAGCUGACCUUUCUGCAAAACAUCAGAAGAGCUUGGAGAGCUUCCAAAUGCAACUUUCUGAUGCUUUAUCUGAUAGAAAUAAAGCUACAGAAACUAUUUCUUCCCUACAGGAAUUAGUUGCAGAGAAAGAAUCAAAGAUUGCAGAGAUGGACGCAGCAUCAAGUGGUGAGGCAGCCAGACUUAGAGCUACUGUGGAAACUGUAAAAGGAGAGCUUGCUCACCUCAGAAAUGAAAAUGAGAAAGAAAAGGAGACAUGGCAAGCCGCCUCGGAGGCACUUAAAAUGAAGUUAGAGAUCGCUGAGAGCAAUUGCAUACGUGCUGAAAUUGAAGCUGCUAAAAUGAGGAGUCAGCUGGAAUUGGAAGUUUCUGCAAAAACCCGGAUGUUGAGUGCAAGAGAUGCUGAACUACUGACUGUCAAAGAGGAGAUGAAUCGCCUUAAAAGUGAAUUUUCUUCAUACAAGGUUCGUGCUCAUGCACUUCUUCAGAAGAAGGAAGCAGAGUUAGAGGCUGCUGUGGACUCUGACCAGAUUAAAGCCCUCGAGGAAGCGCUUAAGGAAGCUGAAAAGGAAAUCACGUUGGCAUAUGCUGAAAAGGAUCGGGUUCAGCUAGAACUAAAAAAUGCUUUGGCAAAUCAUGAAAAAGAACUCAGAGAAAGAGAUUCAACCCUCAAUGACGCUGAGCAAAAUAUUAAGAGCCUAGAAAAGAGGCUUGAAUCUGCUAAUUUGCACCUUCAUUCUGAAAAGGAAGCUUGGGAACAAAGCCUCCAAAACUUGGAGGAAUCAUGGCGAAUUAGAUGUGAAGCACUGAAAUCUCAGUUUGAAGAAUCCUCUAGGCAAGAUGUAGAAAAGGAAUUUGAGGAGCUGAAACAAGGGUACAAAAGAUUGAAGGAAGAGCAUAAUUCAUUCCGUGAUCUUGCUGAUAGAAUGAUCGAGGAAAAGGAUACAGAAAUUUCUAGGCUUUUAGAUGAUAACAAGAAUCUUCGACGAUCUUUGGAAUCAAAACCUCCCGCAGGUCAAGUUGGUAAUACUGCAGUCACUCAAAAACAGGACUCGUCAAAUUUGAGUGCCUCCAAUGCAGAACAACAGAUUCUGAUUUUAGCAAGGCAGCAGGCUCAGAGAGAAGAGCAACUAGCCCAAUCACAGCGGCAUAUUUUAGCUCUUCAAGAAGAACUUGAGGAGCUCGAACGUGAGAAUCGUCUGCAUAGCCAACAGCAAGCAAUGCUGAAGGCUGAGCUUCGUGAUAUGGAAAGAUCACAGAAGAGGGAGGGUGUUGACAUGACGUAUCUGAAGAAUGUCAUCUUGAAGCUCCUCGAAACCGGUGAAGUAGAAGCUCUGCUACCUGUGGUUGCCAUGCUCCUCCAGUUUAGCCCAGAAGAGAUGCAAAAAUGUCAACAAGCGUAUCGCAGCUCGACCGAUGGUCCUCCGAGCCCUGCUGGUGAUUCGUCAGGAUCUGCUCGUUCUCUUUUCUCAAGAUUUUCGUUUGCAUGACAGAUGAGAGGAAGCCUCUAGUAAAUUUGUCAGCAUUAUAUUAAAAACGUCUGCCACUACGCUUGAAUUUCUCAGCAAAUGUUCUUUUCAAAGACCGGCGGCAGACAAGAAGAGUUGCACAAAUGUAAACAUGUUGCAGAAGUUAUAAAUGAAAUGGUUGGUAUCUUCGUGGUUAGGAUUCAAACACAGGACCAAGACUCGGUGGGAGUCUCUUGAAUGAAAAUUUUUAUGAAUUUAGAGAGGGCGAAGCCGAGAGAGAAUUUUUUUAUUAUUUAGUGAGGAGAUGAGCGAGAUGAUCAAAUUUUCUUUUGUAUAUGUAGUCAGCUCAAACAUUUUAAAGUAUAUACUUUAAUUUGGCU